AGGGAUUUAGCUUGGACUGGUAAUCCCGACAAUACUCUAUGAGUUUAUAUUGCAGGGGAUUUAGCCUGGACUGGUAAUCCCGCUGCAAGGUUGAGGUUCGCGGGAGUGUGCUCUCUGAAAUGGAUAUGUGCGCACAUGAAUAUGAAUUGACGGACCCGGAAUUGUACACUAAAAGUGUACCUCUGAAAAUCCAUCGAAAUUCUGAUAAAUUCAACGGGAUAAAUAUGAAAAAUAAUAAGGGAAUGAAAAUCAUGGUAUUGAUGAGUACAUCAAUCAUGGUAUAUAUUAUUGGUACAUGGAAAUUAUUGUACUAACUUGAAUGUUGAGUUUGUGCAUAUUAGGGUAAUAAUGCAUUGAAUGGAU
rnacentral:lncRNA from 1 species